rnacentral:rRNA from 1 species
CUUGACAAAAUAUAAGAGGUCCAGCCUGCCCAGUGACUCUGUUUAACGGCCGCGGUAUCCUAACCGUGCGAAGGUAGCGUAAUCACUUGUUCUUUAAAUGAGGACUAGUAUGAAUGGCAUCACGAGGGUUAUACUGUCUCCCUUUUCUAAUCAGUGAAACUAAUCUUCCCGUGAAGAAGCGGGAAUAAAGCUAUAAGACGAGAAGACCCUAUGGAGCUUUAAACAAAAUAACAAUUGCUACUAUCAUUAUCUAUUUCAGAAAUUUAAAUUUUAUCUUAGCAUUAUGAUUAUUAGUUUUAGGUUGGGGUGACCGCGGAGUAAAAAUUAACCUCCGCAUUGAAAGGAUAAUUUCCUAAGCAAAAAGUUACGACUUUAUGCAUCAACAAAUUGACAUUAAUUGACCCAAUAUUUUGAUCAACGAAC